rnacentral:rRNA from 1 species
AAACUCGAGCUAGUACCGCAUACGUCCUACGGGAGAAAGUGGGGGAUCUUCGGACCUCACGCUAUCAGAUGAGCCUAGGUCGGAUUAGCUAGUUGGUGAGGUAAAGGCUCACCAAGGCGACGAUCCGUAACUGGUCUGAGAGGAUGAUCAGUCACACUGGAACUGAGACACGGUCCAGACUCCUACGGGAGGCAGCAGUGGGGAAUAUUGGACAAUGGGCGAAAGCCUGAUCCAGCCAUGCCGCGUGUGUGAAGAAGGUCUUCGGAUUGUAAAGCACUUUAAGUUGGGAGGAAGGGCAGUAAGUUAAUACCUUGCUGUUUUGACGUUACCAACAGAAUAAGCACCGGCUAACUUCGUGCCAGCAGCCGCGGUAAUACGAAGGGUGCAAGCGUUAAUCGGAAUUACUGGGCGUAAAGCGCGCGUAGGUGGUUCAGCAAGUUGGAGGUGAAAUCCCCGGGCUCAACCUGGGAACUGCCUCCAAAACUACUGGGCUAGAGUAUGGUAUAGGGUGGUGGAAUUUCCUGUGUAGCGGUGAAAUGCGUAGAUAUAGGAAGGAACACCAGUGGCGAAGGCGACCACCUGGACUAAUACUGACACUGAGGUGCGACAGCGUGGGGAGCAGACAGGAUAAGAUACCCUGGUAGUCCACGCGGUAGACGAUGUCGACUAGACGUUGGGAUCCUUGAGAGCAUAUUUGCGCAGCUAACGCGAUAAGUCAACCGCCUAGUGAGUACGGCCGCAAGGUU